GUUUGGUAUUCUUAUGCAAAAUGUCAAAAAGUGAGUAAUCGAGUACUGGACAAUUGAGUAACAUUAACCCAAAUUUUCAUAAUUACCAUGUCUACUCAGUUCUGUAUUAUUAUUCAUGAUGUUUACUCACCCUGAGUAUAUGUAUAUGUCAAAAGUUUUCAACAGCAAUGUUAUCGGUUUCCGAAGAACAAUUGGUGUCGCUUUUUUAUCGUUGGCUAGCACCCAACAUCAGUAUUGCAGAGGAUUUGAAAACACCUAAAAGAUCUCUUCAAAAUGAACAACCGCAUGUUGUGUGUUCUACGAUGCCGUUUAAAGCCGGACUUUUAUUCGUGAUAACAAAGGAAAACAUUUUAUUAGGUGACGAAUGAUGACGGAUUAUCUGGCACAAAAUGUAAGUCACAGUUCACGGGCAGCUGUCAACCGGUUGGAGGCCGCAUUCAAUGAAGACACGGGA